CGAUGUGAAAAAAUAUCGAUGUAACAGCGAUUUUCAGAUGCAAUAUCACGCCUUUUCGAUGCUCGAUUACAUCUGCUUUGAAAUCACACAGAAAUAUGAUAACAUUUUUUUAUUACGCCAAAGUUGUGUAAUAUCAACAUCCAUUAAACGUGAUUAUUACACAAACACAGCUGCAACCAAGUGGGUACAAUGCAGUUGUGUACAAUUACACUAAAUCGAUGCCAUAUCGCAUCCCCUCACGAUACGAUAUUAAAUCUCGCAACACUGUGGUGAUUGUUUAUGAUCGGUCUGCGCAAGCGAGCCAAGCCGCCAUGUUUUAGCAGUUUUCAAAUCGAGUGCAGUAGUUCUUUCAUCAUUAUUAUUCGGAUUUUGUAGAAACAGCCAGUAAUUUUCGAAGCAUCAGCUUGGACAUCAGUUCCAACAUCGCAGCUUGACCAAAAUAUUGGUCGCCGACUCGGUCGCCGAUUUGCUGCUGCGUUUGAUCUGGUUGAUUCCCCGCCCAAUUCGAUUCCCGACAUACGGAUAUGCUCUUCCCAAGGUCAUUUAGGGGCCCUUCAGCCAGAUUUUUUUUGGGACAAAGGUCUGAGGAACUGCACGACCAGGAAAUUUAAACUGAUGAGCCCCAAUUGACCCAGGUGACGGAACACUUCGACACCAAAAUAGAAGGACCGACCGUCAAACUAAUCAGAGCAGGACAAGUCAAACUGUUUGAAAAUGUCUUUUCGAUUUUCGGAUCGGUUCUCGUACCUUGUUCGGAUGUGGCUACAACGAGUUUGAGCAAUUUGGAGAAUGUUCGGAUCACGGUGUGGCGGUUCUCAAGAGUCUCAUGCAAGAGGCAGAACAAGAUCCUGAAGGCAGUGUGUUGGCUAUCUGGAAGUGCCAGGCCACCCAGUGUGAAUCCCGAAUUCCUACCCAAAAACUGGAAUUUCUCGACCACGCCCGAUGGUGAUGCGUGGACACGGGGAUAUUUUAAAACCGAUGCGCAGGAACUGGCGUGAAACCUAUCGGAUGCUCCAGGAAACAUCACUUUGACGGCUUGAGCUCAAGCGGCCGUGGACUCCCUGUGCCCUUGUGGUGUCAGGGGGUGGAUGGACUCAAAGAGCAUGAAAAGCUUUCUGGUGAUAGCAGUGGAAAUAAUACGGUAGGUAAUAUGUGAUACUCAAAGCGAAGUUCGAGGGUACUCUAUGCCCUUGCCCAGAGAUGAGUUCAUUGAAAAUGUGACCUUGGAUGUGACUAAGCUUGAAUUAUAGCUUCCAGGAAGCUUCAAGUUUUCUGAUGUAGUGUUACUAAUCAUGCUGCUACAUAGGUACCUAGUACAUCGAACAUUUGUCAAUGUCAUUUAUGUACAGGGAAAAUACAAUCAUAAGUUGGUGAGAAUAUUACAAACUGAUGGAGGGUAAUAAGUCCUAUCAGACCCCUGAGUGGGCCAUAUGGGCUAGUGUGUGGGAAUGCCUUUACAUAUUUGUAAUACUCUCGAGGCUUCGAAAUCUAAUGGGGCGAGGUUUCCGGGUUGCGGAUAGAAAGAAAAGGUAUAUCUCUCGCAUUAUUACUAAAAAUAGCAUAUGUGAUAUUAUCUCUUGUAUUAUCUUCUAUAGAGUUUUAGUACGAUUACCGUAAACGCACCAAACUUUGCGCACUUCUGAAAAGAUCGUUAAACAAUAUUGCUGAUGCAUAAUGCAAACUUUUUUUUCAUUGAGUACUAGCAUUGGCGUAACUAGGAUUUUUUCCUGGAGGGGGCCCAGGGGGGGCCUGACUUGAGAUGAAUUUUAAGCGGGAUGGGCGCCUAAUAUA